rnacentral:rRNA from 1 species
CAAGAAAUAACAAUACGGGGCUUAAAGUCUUGUAAUUGGAAUGAUGGGAAUUUAAACCUCUUCCAGAGUAUCAAUUGGAGGGCAAGUCUGGUGCCAGCAGCCGCGGUAAUUCCAGCUCCAAUAGCGUAUAUUAAAAUUGUUGCAGUUAAAAAGCUCGUAGUUGAAUUUCUGCUGCAUUGCUUGUGUCCCUCCGGGGUCUGUGCAUGUGGCUUUUUUCGGACGGAGUUUUCUUGUCUGAAUGUUUACUUUGAGAAAAUUAGAGUGCUCAAAGCAGGCUUUUGCCUUGAA